rnacentral:rRNA from 1 species
CCUACGGGGGGCAGCAGUGGGGAAUAUUGGACAAUGGGGGGAACCCUGAUCCAGCCAUGCCGCGUGUGUGAAGAAGGCCCUCGGGUUGUAAAGCACUUUCAGUGAGGAAGAACGCCUGGUGGUUAAUACCCAUCAGGAAAGACAUCACUCACAGAAGAAGCUCCGGCUAACUCCGUGCCAGCAGCCGCGGUAAUACGGAGGGUGCGAGCGUUAAUCGGAAUUACUGGGCGUAAAGCGCGCGUAGGUGGCUUGAUAAGCCGGUUGUGAAAGCCCCGGGCUCAACCUGGGAACGGCAUCCGGAACUGUCAAGCUAGAGUGCAGGAGAGGAAGGUAGAAUUCCCGGUGUAGCGGUGAAAUGCGUAGAGAUCGGGAGGAAUACCAGUGGCGAAGGCGGCCUUCUGGACUGACACUGACACUGAGGUGCGAAAGCGUGGGUAGCAAACAGGAUUAGAUACCCCUGUAGUC